ACGGGGGGAGGAAAGUAGGGGAUCGUAAGACCUCGCGCUAUUGGAGCGGCCGAUGUCCGAUUAGCUAGUUGGUAGGGUAAUGGCCUACCAAGGCAACGAUCGGUAGCUGGUCUGAGUGGAUGAUCAGCCACACUGGGACUGAGACACGGCCCAGACUCCUACGGGAGGCAGCAGUGGGGAAUUUUGGACAAUGGGCGCAAGCCUGAUCCAGCCAUGCCGCGUGAGUGAAGAAGGCCUUCGGGUUGUAAAGCUCUUUCGGCCGGAACGAAAUCGUCCGGGCUAAUACCCCGGAUGGAUGACGGUACCGGAAGAAGAAGCACCGGCUAACUACGUGCCAGCAGCCGCGGUAAUACGUAGGGUGCAGGCGUUAAUCGGAAUUACUGGGCGUAAAGCGUGCGCAGGCGGCUUCCUAAGUCAGAUGUGAAAUCCCCGGGCUUAACCUGGGAACUGCGUUUGAAACUACAAAGCUAG
rnacentral:rRNA from 1 species